GAUCCGCUAGCUCAGUUGGUAGAGCAUCUGACUUUUAAUCAGAGGGUCGGGGGUUCGAACCCCCCGCGGGUCACCA
rnacentral:tRNA from 1 species